rnacentral:rRNA from 1 species
AGAAUCAACGCUGGCGGCGUGCCUAACACAUGCAAGUCGAACGAGAAAGUGGGAGCAAUCCCACGAGUAAAGUGGCGCACGGGUGAGUAACACGUGACUAACCUACCCUUGAGUGGGGGAUAACCUAGGGAAACCUGGGCUAAUACCGCAUAAUACCUACGGGUCAAAGGAGCAAUUCGCUUAAGGAGGGGGUCGCGGCAGAUUAGUUAGUUGGCGGGGUAAUGGCCCACCAAGACAGUGAUCUGUAUCCGGCCUGAGAGGGCGCACGGACACACUGGAACUGAAACACGGUCCAGACUCCUACGGGAGGCAGCAGUGGGAAUAUUGCGCAAUGGGCGAAAGCCUGACGCAGCGACGCCGCGUGGGGGAUGAAGGCCUUCGGGUUGUAAACCCCUUUCAGCAGGGACGAAGCGAAGUGACGGUACCUGCAGAAGAAGCGCCGGCUAACUACGUGCCAGCAGCCGC